CGUAGGUGAACCUGCGGAGGGAUCAUUACACAAUAAAAUACGAAGGCCGUUCGCGGCUGGACUAUUUAUUACCCUUGUCUUUUGCGCACUUGUUGUUUCCUGGGCGGGUUCGCUCGCCACCAGGACCACAAUAUAAACCUUUUUUAUGCAGUUGCAAUCAGCGUCAGUAUAACAAAUGUAAAUCAUUUACAACUUUCAACAACGGAUCUCUUGGUUCUGGCAUCGAUGAAGAACGCAGCGAAAUGCGAUACGUAGUGUGAAUUGCAGAAUUCAGUGAAUCAUCGAAUCUUUGAACGCACAUUGCGCCCUUUGGUAUUCCAAAGGGCAUGCCUGUUCGAGCGUCAUUUGUACCCUCAAGCUUUGCUUGGUGUUGGGCGUUUUUGUCCCCCCCAAAAAGGGGACUCGCCUUAAAAGGAUUGGCAGCCGGCCUACUGGUUUCGCAGCGCAGCACAUUUUUGCGCUUGCAAUCAGCAAAAGAGGACGGCAAUCCAUCAAGACUCCUUCUCACGUUUGACCUCGGAUCAGGUAGGGAUACCCGCUGAACUUAAGCAUAUCAAUAAGCGGAGGAAAAGAAACCAACAGGGAUUGCCCUAGUAAC
rnacentral:rRNA from 1 species